CGAGUAACUUUUGGCUCAGCAGAUAGCUCUCGUGUGCUGCAGGCUUUAAGCCUUCGAUACACGAGAGCUAUCUGCUGAGCCAAAAGUUACUCG
rnacentral:miRNA from 1 species